AAUAAGUGACCUUGUCUUUUAAUUUAAAAUGAUGAUGAUGAUUACAUCUUGUUUUUGUUUUCCUGUAUGUAUCCUCCAUUUUUGUUAUCUUAAGAAAAAUUUAAAGUAAGGCAACGAAAAACUUCAAUUUAAUUCUUAUAUAAAGUGGUUCAUUUUUGUUUUAUAUCUGUUAACUGUACAGAAUAUUAAGAUAUUUUGAAUUUUAUUAGGCAUUUGUUCAAUGUAAUUAAAAAUUUUUCUUACAAAUAUUUCUCUAUGACAUUACAUAUUUCUCCUUCAUAAACAGUUUGGUGUAAAACUAAAAUGGUGUUUUCUUGUUUUGUGUUAUUAAUCAGGUUCAGUUUUUCAACAAAAUAUCAUUUUGUUAUAGUUUACAAAUAGAGAAAUGUAAUGAGGGUCUGGAAAAAUCCAUAUAAGUUUCUGUAAUAUACCUUUUACCUUGAAAAAAGAAAACUAUUAACUUAAUUGUCAUUUGUAAGGUGAUUAAAAGCUGUACAUUAUCUUUUAUUUUUGUAAUUCUAUAACUCCUUACUAUCAAAUACUGCUGAUUCAACUUUUGGUGUACACUGUAAGUUUCUGUACAAGACUGGUUUGCAUUUUUCAGAUGGUACUUUGUGAUGAUUGAUCAGUCGAUCCUGUGUUUUGCCUUUCACUCCUUUUCAUAAAUGGCUACAUUGAGAAUUGCCCAAAAAUCCUCAUUUCUGGCAUGUUUGCAGAGUCAUCUUUCUUUUCGACAAAGGUGAUGCUUUCUUGUCAUAGGUAAUCCAGUAUCAUUUUGGCACAUUCUUGCUUGAUCUGACCAGAAGACACAUUCUGCUUGAGAACAGUUCAUCAGAAUGUAAGGAAUCAGCAGUGUCACAUACAUUCAUUUAAGUAUUGCUGGGCAUUGAUAGCAAAACUUGAUUUUCUUAUUAGGACUUGAGUCAACAAUCCUUUUGGUCCCAUUGCAAUUCAAACCAAAACCUUGUUCUCAAGUUCAUUUUUAUUGGAAAACUUGUUGACAGGUUUAGAAGAGAUGUCAUAAAAUUGUAUUAUAAUGUAUACUUUUUCCUAACGUUACUGUAUCAAAGAACUUAUUUAUUGCAUUUCUUAUAGACAAGUAGUGUGUAUUUUUGUGCCUUUUAAUAAAUAAAUAUUAUAUUUAUUAAUCACAAGAAAAUAAUGGUAGAAUAAAUUGACAAGCAUCAUCAUUAAAUAUAAUCAUAUAUGAUUUGAUUGCACAAGAAAACAUUAUACAGAUGGAAUUAAUUUCAACUAUUCUUGCAUAAUGUAAAUGCAAAACAUUUUGUAAUGAAUAUUUAAAUUGCAAUAUUGUUCAAGAAAAAGUUGAUUUUACCAUUGAAAAACUCUCAUAUAGUUUAUUUUUCGGGUAAUAAUUUCAUACUAUUGUACUCAUUAUACUGAAAGUUAAACAGACAUUAAUGCUUUUGUUUUAUAAUCUAAGUUUGAGUAAAAUAAUCUCAACAUUAUAUCCAGUUCCUAAUUUUACAUGAAUUUAGAUUUCUGCCAUUUCAUUAUUUUAUUUGUGUAAAUCUUUACUUUUCAAUUAUGUGAUAGUUUAAUUUCGGUUGGUCAUUAAAUUCUAUCAUAUAUUUUACACAUUUUCCUUUUGCUUUCAUUCUAUAUUUUCUUAUUUUAAAUUGAUUUCUUAUUGAACAGGUAAACUGUAGUAUUGUUUCCUAUUAUAAACGGUUAUUCGGGUAGUCGUGUUAAUAGUGGAGAAAUUAACUUUCAAAAGUAAAAUCAUGCUGUAACAAAAUUCAAAGUAUCUGAAAAUUCUACAUAUGCUAAUUUAAGUUCAAAUUUAUGUAAGUAUUCAACAUGUAAUACUUGAUUAAAUGUAAUAUGUAAACUGCAAAGAACAGAGUAGGAAUGUUUAUUUUUCUGUGACAUACAGUUCACUGAAAAUUAAACAUGUAUAAUGAAGUAAAUCUCCAAUAACAAAUGAUUUGUUCAAAAAGAAAAAUUCCGCUUUUGUGUUAGAAAUAUGACAGAAAUUAAAUCUAUUUGGCAUUGAAAUAUUAAUUAAAAUUUAAAUGGUUUAUAAUAAUAAAAUUAAAAUUAAUAAUGUCCUUGUUAUGGACACUAUCCCUUUUGUAAGUUAUUCUCUUGAAUUUUUUUCUUUCUUUCUAGCUUAAGUGUUUCAAUUCUCACUUUGUCUACUUUGUCGUAACAUUUCCUGUGUUGUGCAAUCUCUUUAAACUACUAUUUAAUACUUAUUAUUAUUAAAGGUUAAUAAGUGGUUUUUUAAUGUUAAUAAUAUGAAAAUACAAUGAUCCAUUUGUGGAUUUGCUUUACAAAUUUUCCACCUACCUUGUCACUUAUUCCUGUUUAUGCUCUUGAUUACAUUAAAAUAUAAAUUAAUAAUAAUCUUGCACCAUUUGAAUUUUACAAUUUAAGAAAUUGAAUUUAUUAGUUAGUGAUAAUUCAAUUAAAAGUUUUACUCCAUAGUUCCAAUAAUUACUAUUUGUUGAAACUAAUAUCAAAAUGUACUGUUGAACAAAGUUGAGAGAAUGUUUUUUUUUAUAUGUAAUAUUUAUUGUUACACAGUUUAUAUUUAAUAUUUAAAAUAUACUUGAAAAAAACUUCCGCUGGGUAAGAUUUCAAAUAUUUUGGACAAUAUUUUUUUGUCCAAUCAAUGUUUAUUUACAGUAAAUGUUUGGGAACUAAGGUGACAUUUUUCUAUUAAAUUGUAUCAUUUGGUACUUGACUGUUGCUACUAUCAUGUUUUUGCAGAAAGUUUUGUCUGCUGUUUUAUGCAAUGAUGAUAACUGUACAACAUACUAAAAACUCUGGAGUAUUUAAUUACAGAAACUGCUUAGUUAUUAUGACUAAUGAACAAGCUUAUUACACACCCAGCCUAUUUAAUUAACUUAUCCCAAAAUGCAUUUCGGCCUUACUGGCCCUUAUCAAUUGAGUGACAAUUGCCAAUAGUACAAUUAUUACCAGUUAUUACAUACACAUAAGUAAAUACACCAGAAUCCUAUUAAUAAUCUAAGGGAGGAGAGAGAGAGAGAGGCUCUGAUUGAUUUGCAUAUACCUUUUUUUUUUUUUCUUUUUAAUUUGUAAAUACUAAAAUAUCUUCGAGAAAAUGUCAUUUGUAAUCUGUACGUUCUUCGAAGUAAAAUAAUUGUUUUUUUAUGUGCACUUUUAUGAGAUUAUCUGUUUGUUUUUGGAGAUGGAUUUCAUUAGAACGUAAUACUGCGUACGAACUGAUUUUCAACUUUGAUUACGGUUACAGUAAUUCGAGCUUAAAGGGGGUAUUUUUUUCCACUUUAUCCACCAUUAAAGUUGAAAAUGAUUUGGAUCAGCCAUUACACAUUACCCUUAAAAUUAUAGCUUAAAUUAUAUACGAAAUGGUUUAAAUUACUGUGACCAGACUUUACAGAAAAUGAGAGAGUGAAAUGAAGUUUUUCCUUUUACAGCCUUAACAAGUUUAUUUUAAAAAAAUUAUUGGCGAGAGGUCUGUUAUUUCGAGCAAUUGAUUUAAACAUCUUGAACAUUGUACGUUAGUCGAAACUUACAAAAAAAAAAAACAACUUCAAUAAAAUAACAGCCAAUUAUUAUUUGUUAUCGAAGUGCACUGACAAAAUUGAUGAGGAAAAUUUUUGACGUGUAUACUAUUUUAGGUGCAACGAUAUCUUCUAGAAAAAUAACUUUCGUGUAAUAAUGUUUCUGUAAUAAUAAUAAUAAUAAUAAUAAAAUGCAAAUCAUCUUUUGGCUGCUGUCUCGUGAAAUUUUGCAGUGAAUGUCAGACUCUACCGUUCUCGUAUCGACACCGGACGAAAUAUUUAUUUUCACAACUGUGUUUACGUCCCUCUGCCAAGCUUUCACGUGCGGUCUUUCGGCAAAAGUUACUUGUCGUUUUUUGUUUUUUAGUUGUGUUACUUGAAUAUAAUUAUUAUUAUUAACUUUUAAGUAAGAUAACCAUUCCAGGAGACAUCUUAACAUUGUUCGAAUUCUUCUCUUUGUAUGGAAAUUUCUCUGCAUCUGGCAUUUAUUAAUCAAAUAAAACAUAUUUAGUGAAAACCAA